UACGGAGGAUCCGAGCGUUAUCCGGAUUUAUUGGGUUUAAAGGGUGCGCAGGCGGAAGAUUAAGUCGGCGGUGAAAUUUUGCAGCUCAACUGUAAAAGUGCCAUCGAUACUGGUUUUCUUGAGUGUGGAUGAAGUAGGCGGAAUUUGUGGUGUAGCGGUGAAAUGCAUAGAUAUCACGAGGAACCUCGAUUGCGCAGGCAGCUUACUAGGCCAUAACUGACGCUCAGGCACGAAGGCGUGGGGAUCAAACAGGAUUAGACUA
rnacentral:rRNA from 1 species